GCUCCGGUGGCCUAUGUGGUUAGUGCGUUCGCCUCGAAUGCGCGACGCCGCGGAUUCGAACCCCCUGCCGAGUCA